GGGGAAGCAAGGGACAGUAGUCCUGAAGGCUGGCCAGCUUCUCGUGGGGAUGGCUGAGAUAACAUCUGGCACUGGAAUGGUCAGGGGAGCCCUUAGGGCCAAGCCUGAGUUCUGGCAGCCAAAGGGCCAAAAGAGAGCUGGUGUGUGCUUUCACCUGAGACUUGGAGCAAAAUAUGUGAAACCAACAGCAAAUCAACG
rnacentral:lncRNA from 1 species